CCUACGGGGCGCUGCAGUGGGGAAUAUUGGACAAUGGGCGAAAGCCUGAUCCAGCCAUGCCGCGUGUGUGAAGAAGGCCUUCGGGUUGUAAAGCACUUUCAGUGGGGAAGAAAGCCUUGGGGCUAAUACCCUCGAGGAAGGACAUCACCCACAGAAGAAGCACCGGCUAACUCCGUGCCAGCAGCCGCGGUAAUACGGAGGGUGCGAGCGUUAAUCGGAAUUACUGGGCGUAAAGCGCGCGUAGGCGGUCUGAUAAGCCGGUUGUGAAAGCCCCGGGCUCAACCUGGGAACGGCAUCCGGAACUGUCAGGCUAGAGUGCAGGAGAGGAAGGUAGAAUUCCCGGUGUAGCGGUGAAAUGCGUAGAGAUCGGGAGGAAUACCAGUGGCGAAGGCGGCCUUCUGGACUGACACUGACGCUGAGGUGCGAAAGCGUGGGUAGCAAACAGGAUUAGAUACCCCGGUAGUC
rnacentral:rRNA from 1 species